CGAGGGGUGCAAGCGUUGCUCGGAAUUAUUGGGCGUAAAGGGUAGGUAGGUGGUCUUAUUUGUCUGGGGUGAAAUCCUUGAGCUUAACUCAAGAAGUGCCCUAGAAACGGUAAGACUAGAGUCCUGGAGAGGGUCGUGGAAUUCCCGGUGUAGCGGUGAAAUGCGUAGAGAUCGGGAGGAACACCAGAGGCGAAGGCGGCGACCUGGACAGGUACUGACACUAAACUACGAAAGCGUGGGGAGCAAACAGGAUUAGAUACCCUGGUAGUCCACGCUGUAAACGAUGAGUACUAGGCUUGGUGGGUCUUGACCCCCGCUGAGCCGGAGCUAACGCACUAAGUACUCCGCCUGGGAAGUACGGUCGCAAGACUA
rnacentral:rRNA from 1 species